GCCUCUGUGGCGGAAUAGGUAGACGCGCGGGAUUCAAAAUCCCGUUCCCGUUAGGGAGUGAGAGUUCGAUUCUCUCCGGAGGCACCA
rnacentral:tRNA from 1 species